ACUUCAAAGAUGCAUUAAAUCUUGUACACAGAUAUCUGCACGUACUGAUACAACUCACUGUACCAUUGACAUCUCCUUCAGGUUCCUCAAGAAGCUUCCGGCAGAGCACCAAGCUCCAGCCUUAGGACACCUGGACUCUAGCAGCUGGUUUCUUUUGUAACUGCCUCCAGCCACACCUUUUGAAAGCACGCUCUUUUUUCUGCCUGCUACAGAAAAACCACAGCACAUUUCUGCAAGAAAUCAAAGGUCUCAAGGAGAGGACUGGCAAACAGCUGCCCUAUCAAGCCAGAGGCCCACACGAGCAAAGCAGAAGGAGGGAGGAGAUGAAGGACAGAGCAUCAGAGGGCAUCAGGAGCAGGAAGUGAAAGCCCUGAAGACAUGGUGGCCGUGAGCCCUUGCUUCCGUUCUCUCCCAUUCCACCUCCACUGCAAAACUGAGAAAUCUGGAAUCAGCUCAGCUCUGUGGCUGUACCUGGAAGUUCAAGUUAGUCUCCAGAAGACGAAACAGAAGAAGAGAAAGAGUGCAAAGCUUCAACAGAUAUUACUGUCCUGCAGUUGUAAGUUAGGGCUGCCCUUUUCAAGGGCAGGAAAAGUACUGCUUCUUGUGCAAGAGCCAGCAUCCCAGGAAGAGCUCCGUCUGAGCCAAAUCAUCACUUGGGUUUGUUACUUACCCUGUGCAUGGUAACCUCUGGCUUAAAACCAAGUUUGCGGCACUUCACUGUAGAAGUGAUGAUGGGCUAAAUUGCUUCCUGAGUGGCACCCACAAAUAAAUAUUAGAGCUGAUCAAACA
rnacentral:lncRNA from 1 species